UAGGGAAUCUUCCGCAAUGGGCGAAAGCCUGACGGAGCAACGCCGCGUGAGUGAUGAAGGGUUUCGGCUCGUAAAACUCUGUUAUUAGGGAAGAACAAACGGUGUAAGUAACUGUGCACGUCUUGACGGUACCUAAUCAGAAAGCCACGGCUAACUACGUGCCAGCAGCCGCGGUAAUACGUAGGUGGCAAGCGUUAUCCGAAAUUAUUGGGCGUAAAGCGCGCGUAGGCGGUUUCUUAAGUCUGAUGUGAAAGCCCACGGCUCAACCGUGGAGGGUCAUUGGAAACUGGGAAACUUGAGUGCAGAAGAGGAAAGUGGAAUUCCAUGUGUAGCGGUGAAAUGCGCAGAGAUAUGGAGGAACACCAGUGGCGAAGGCGACUUUCUGGUCUGUAACUGACGCUGAUGUGCGAAAGCCGUGGGGAUCAAACAGGAUUAGAUACCCUGGUAGUCCACGCCGUAAACGAUGAGUGCUAAGUGUUAUGGGGUUUCGAUGCCCGUAGUGCCGAAGUUAACACAUUAAGCACUCCGCCUGGGGAGUACGGCCGCAAGGCUA
rnacentral:rRNA from 1 species